UCCCUCUCCGCGCCNCAACACAUGCAAGUCGAACGAUGAACCCGGAGCUUGCUCCGGCGGAUUAGUGGCGAACGGGUGAGUAACACGUGAGUAACCUGCCCUUGACUCUGGGAUAAGCGUUGGAAACGACGUCUAAUACCGGAUACGAGCUGGGACCGCAUGGUCACUAGCUGGAAAGAAUUUCGGUCAAGGAUGGACUCGCGGCCUAUCAGUUAGUUGGUGAGGUAACGGCUCACCAAGACGACGACGGGUAGCCGGCCUGAGAGGGUGACCGGCCACACUGGGACUGAGACACGGCCCAGACUCCUACGGGAGGCAGCAGUGGGGCACAAUGGGCGAAAGCCUGAUGCAGCAACGCCGCGUGAGGGACGACGGCCUUCGGGUUGUAAACCUCUUUUAGCAGGGAAGAAGCGAAAGUGACGGUACCUGCAGAAAAAGCACCCGGCUAACUACGUGCCAGCAGCCCGCGGUAAUACGUAGGGUGCAAGCCGUUGUCCGGAAUUAUUGGGCGUAAAGAGCU
rnacentral:rRNA from 1 species